AACCACCCUGUGUGGCUAUGCAUAGUGGGUUAAGGUCUGGCUAAUAGACAAAAAUAAACAGCAACUUAGAUUGUCUUGCAGGUUAACCUGUCAACAUUUUAUUCUUCAUUUAUUGAAUGAGAGGAAAUUACAUGAGAGAAAGACUGUAUUUCAAGAAAUCAGCUAAGCAUACGAAAGUUUUCCCAAAGGCCUUGACACUGACAUAAACAAAGUAAAAUCUCUAAGUCUAAUAAGUAUGGCUAAGCUUAGUUACUCCCUACUCAGUUCCAGGCCUUAGGCUAAGAAUAGCAAUAAAUAUAAAAAUAUCCGCCGGUUGCCAUUUAAUUUGUGCGCAUGUGCCAGAAUCCCUCGCUUCCUUUCCCUCACACGCUGAAUCAUCAACCAAAUUUUCUCUCCCUGCUAAAAGUUCUUUAGCAAUUCAAAAUAAAAUCAGAAGAAAAGUUAUUUCUUGGAAAGGUUUAAAAGUGGGUGAGAUUCCUGUUUAUGUCCUAAUCAAGCACAAAGACUCGUUGUUUAAUAACCACGGUAUUUUCUAAAAUGAAGUUUUUAGAUAAUAACGCAUAUACAGGGUAAUUAAUCAAAUACAGUGACAAAGAAAAGGACUUUUGUUUGGUCCAAAAUUAUUUUGCUAUUAGGUCAAUACUGAACCACACAUGAACCGUCUUGGGCUUCUAUACCAAACUGCUGGGAAACGAGCAGUAGCCACACACAAAUCUUCAAAACAAAACCAUGGAGACCUCUGUUCUUUCUAAAGCUGAAAACCUCAGACCUGAGAGUAACUAAGAAGAUUUGGAUGUCAUGGUUUAAUUUAAUUAAUAUAUCCUAUGGAGCCAUGAUGAUGAGGAAUGAGAAGCAAGCAGCAGGUUCAAAAAGCCACAAACACCAGGAAAAACGGACUUUGGUGGGAAGGUGUGUGGAUUUCCCUUUAACUUUCAGGAUAUACUAUAAGAUUAACCUUUGUUCCCUUGAGCUAAAUUUUAUCCAUCAGCACAACUCAGAGGUCACUUAAAAUCAUAACUUCCUUUAAACAUGCUUAUGAUAUUUACUAGCAAACACAUUCCAAAAGAACAGUCACUUCCACUUGUGUAGAAAGAGCUUAAUUACUGAAUUUAAACCUGCCUACACUUAUUCACAAAUGAGGGCCUCAUCUUCGUUGGUGACCCCUAGGUCUUCCUUCUCUUUUCCUUGACUCAGCAGCUGAGCUCAGCUUCCUCUCUCUGACCUUCGUUUUCCAAAUGCUGGAGCACAGCAGGCAUUUCUAGGUCAGCAAAGGAAACUUACUGCCUUCCAGGAGAACAGGAUCUUCCAUGUAUUCAAAGGAUUGAAAAAGAACAAGAGGUCAGAAAUUCAGUGUACUAACCUCAGUUCUGACCCCGUCUAGGGUAUGGCAUCAACUGCCUCUUUUCUCUAUUCUGCUAGGGGAAAAAACUCCACCAUCCACCCGUAUAGCUGGUCGUCAGCCACCUGAACACCCAGCUCAGCAUAGCCUGGCAGAAUACCUUCCCCCAUCUAAAUGCCUUGCCAUGCUGGCUAUGGCACUGUCUUCCUGCCUGACCCACAGGCCCAUGAGAAUGACCAUAUCCUCAUCCUUUCCAUUCCAUACCAUGCAUUCUGCCACCACUUAUUUUUUCAAAUAGUUUUGUUGACAUAAAAUUCACGUAUUGUAAAAUUCACACAUUAAAGUGUGCAAUUCAGUGGUUUUUAAUAUAUUCAGAGAUGUGCAACCAUCACCACAAUCUAAUUUUAGAACAUUCCCAUAACUCCAAAAAGAAACCCUUUAUAUACCCACAGUCACUUCCCAAAUCCUCCCCACCUUCCUCUCUAAGCGACCACUAUCUUCUUUCUGUCUCUAUGGAUAUUUCAUAUGAGGAAACUGAGUCUUAGUGAAGGGAAAUAACUUGCUCAGCGUCACACUGCUUCAAAGUGGCACAGGCAACACUUGAACCUAUGUAUCUCUAACUCCAAAGUUCAUCUUUAUUUUUUGGGACAUGAUUGCUACCAAAGCCACUCUAUACUUUCCUCCUUGCUCCUGGGUACCCUUCUCAGUUGCAAAUAGUUCCUGCAGGUGCCGCACCUACAUAAAUACACUUGCUACAGAGAAGCAGCACAGGGCACAAUAAGCAGGCCUAGCUAGGAAACCAGGGCCAAAGGAAGGCCAGAACUGGGCUUUGCUGCCAUCCAGUCCAACCCUGGCUCGGACUCAAUCGGUCUGUGAACAGUAGAAGAUUAAAGCUCCUACUAAGGCCACAUCUUCAGAAAUAUCAAUAAUAUGCCUAGGAAAUAAUCCAGAGAUGACUACUAUUUUAAUUUUCCCUUAAAGGAAUCAAUCUAACAUCAUUAAGAGUGACAUUUAAAUGCUAAUUGAAAAUGCACUGUUCCCGUGUCUCUAGACAAGUAUUUGCAUGUUAAUUAAUCCUGGGGAUAAGAAGACUGGCUUCCAAUAUGAGGUGUCAGAAGAGAGAGUUUCUUUGCAGAGGAAGAUAAAAGGCUAUGGCAUAGACAUAAUUAAAUUACCUGGCUUCAAGAGUUCUAAAAAGAAAUAAGCUAUCCUUUGCAAUGCAAAUUCAUAUUGCCUCUUUUGUAAAGGGCACAUUCUAAUGAAAGGACCAAAAUAUAGACUGCCAACUUCAGUACUCUUUUAAAUGUAGUGCCCUCUCCACGGAUCAAAUGGCUUUUACCAGAACAGUGGCUAACGAGCUCAUAAAGACUGUCAAUAUGGGAGACAGAGGCCUAAUGCCUUAGAAGCCAAUAAACCACAAACACAUUCUGAACGGUCACAAAGGAUGUCAACUUGAUUUUUUCAAGCAACAAACCAUUUCUUUUUAAAAGGAGUCAUACAAAUUAGUACAAACUCACAAACCACAGACCUAGAAUGAUGGCCGUUAGGCUGAAUAUUUUAUAAAUUAGAUUACCUCGAAAGACGGUAAUUAAACAUAGCAUACAUUCAACUUGCUACACUUACACCAUAUUUGUUGGCAUUAUAAUUUCUACUGUAUAACUUUCACUGUUCGCACUACUGCUUUUCAUAUAUGAUCUCAUCUUAGAUCUGGAAGAUAAAUGAGUAUAAAGGUGCCCACUAUACAGAUGAAGACAUUAAGAUUCAGAGAGAAUAUAUGGUUUAAUCAAGAUCAUGGAGCUAAAGAGCAGUGAGAUCAUAUCUAGAACCCAGUUUUCUGGAUCUAAUUUCCAUGUUCUUCCCAUGUAAUUAUAUUAUCUUUCUUCUACUUCGUUUAGUGGCUGAUUGUCCCUGCUAUUAAGUUCAUUAUUGCUAUGAUAUUCCUAAAUGUGCAGAGGACAUAAACAUUUGGAGAAUAAUCACAUUUCAAACAGGCUUAACAAGGUUUUCUUUUUGUGUUCUCUGUAAAGGUCCACUCCAGUAACAAAAGUAUACUGAUUAAUUCAUUUAUCACACAGACAUAUUUUGUAAAUACACAUGACAAACAGUUAUGUGUAGUAUAGAAAGAGCAAUUAUUAAUUAAUAGGAAAAUAUAAAAACACUGACCAAAAGCCAUGAAAAGGCUAUUCACAAAAGAACUACAAUUGGCCAGAUGAAAACCAGUUCAGUCUCACUAGUAAUAAAAAAAAAAAAAAAAAAAAA